CUGAUCAGCCAUGCCGCGUGCGGGAAGAAGGCCUUCGGGUUGUAAACCGCUUUUGUCAGGGAAGAAAUCUUCUGGGUUAAUACCUCGGGAGGAUGACGGUACCUGAAGAAUAAGCACCGGCUAACUACGUGCCAGCAGCCGCGGUAAUACGUAGGGUGCGAGCGUUAAUCGGAAUUACUGGGCGUAAAGCGUGCGCAGGCGGUUUUGUAAGACAGAGGUGAAAUCCCCGGGCUCAACCUGGGAACUGCCUUUGUGACUGCAAGGCUUGAGUGCGGCAGAGGGGGAUGGAAUUCCGCGUGUAGCAGUGAAAUGCGUAGAUAUGCGGAGGAACACCGAUGGCGAAGGCAAUCCCCUGGGCCUGCACUGACGCUCAUGCACGAAAGCGUGGGGAGCAAACAGGAUUAGAUACCCUGGUAGUCCACGCCCUAAACGAUGUCAACUGGUUGUUGGGAAGGUUCCUUCUCAGUAACGUAGCUAACGCGUGAAGUUGACCGCCUGGGGAGUACGGCCGCAAGGUUGAAACUC
rnacentral:rRNA from 1 species